rnacentral:rRNA from 1 species
UACGGGGGGAGCAAGCGUUGUUCGGAUUUACUGGGCGUAAAGGGCGCGUAGGCGGCCACCGCAAGUCGACUGUGAAAUCUCCGGGCUUAACCCGGAAAGGUCAGCCGAUACUGCGGGGCUAGAGUGCAGAAGGGGCAACUGGAAUUCUCGGUGUAGCGGUGAAAUGCGUAGAUAUCGGGAGGAACACCUGCGGUGUAGACGGCUUACUGGACCAUAACUGACGCUGAGGCACGAAAGCGUGGGUAGCAAACAGG